rnacentral:rRNA from 1 species
UACGGGGGGGGCAAGCGUUGUUCGGAAUUACUGGGCGUAAAGGGUUUGUAGGUGGCUUGCUAAGUCGGACGUGAAAUCCCCUCAGCUUAACUGGGGAACUGCGUCUGAGACUGGUGACAGCUUGAGUGAGCAGGAGGAGGAACGCGGAAUUCCAGGUGUAGCGGUGAAAUGCGUAGAUAUCUGGAGGAACACCGGUGGCGAAGGCGGCGUUCUGGACUGCAACUGACACUGGAGGAACGAAAGCCAGGGAGCAAACGGG